ACCGUAUCCAACCUGCCGUCUACUCUUGGCCAGCCUUCUGAAAGGAAGAUUAAUCCAGGAUGGCAUCAUGAGUUCACAUGUCCGCAUGAUUAAAGGUAUUUUCCGGUAGACGAUGGGGAUGCGUUCCAUUAGAUAGUAGGCGGGGUAACGGCCCACCUAGUCAACGAUGGAUAGGGGUUCUGAGAGGAAGGUCCCCCACAUUGGAACUGAGACACGGUCCAA
rnacentral:rRNA from 1 species